AUGUCCUUGGAAACCCUCCAUAAGAGUAGAGGAGGCAAGUUCAAGAGAACUGAUAAGAAGGAUGUGGCUGCAAUAUUUGGAGCACAUGUUCAAGUUAUUCAAAGAAUAUGGGAGACGGCAAUGAAACAGAAAGGCCUUGGUCGGGAGGUGGAUGUUUCAAACAAAAGAAAGGAAAAUUGUGGAAGAAAAUCUUAUGAUGAUAUCCUAUCUCUCAUUCCGACAAUUCCCUUAAACAAGAGGUCAACUAUUCGAUCUCUAGACAAGGCACUAGGUGUAAGCCCUACUACACUAUACAAGAAGUUCAAGUUGAAUAAGAUAAGGAGACACUCCAACAGGGUUAAGCCGGUACUGACAGAGAAAAAUAAGAGAGAUAGGGUGUAUUUUUGCCUCUCUAUGCUAGAUGAGGCAACAUUGGGAGAUGUAAGUCCAAGUUUGAGGAGUAUGCAUAAUAUUGUUUACAUCGACGAGAAAUGGUUCUCCAUGACCAAGAAAAAAGGAACUACUAUCUGCUGCCUGACAAAGAGGACCCAGAAAGACCUAUCAAAAACUCUAUUGGAAAAGUGA
rnacentral:rRNA from 1 species